GUGAGCGCCGCCGGCCCCGCCAGCCCCUCACGGCGGCGCCCGCUGCCCCACGUGACCCCUCCCCGCACCGCCCACUGGCCGCUGAGGCUUUGACGGAGCCGAGCGGGGCGGGGCUCGGCGGGGGACGGCCGUUGCCGUGGCAACCGGCGCCGCCGCCGCCGCCGUCCCGCUCCAGAAGGUUCGGCCCGGGGCCUGCCGCCGGGCCCGGCGGGGAGCGGGGCGCAGCCCCAAGCCUGGAGCCCCUCGCUGCGCCUCGGGCUGCCGCUCCCCGAGCCCCCUGUUGCCUGGCGAGGCGGCGGGGCCCGGCCUGGUGAGGCUUGGCGGGGUGCAGGCCCCGCCGGGGAGCAGGCCCGGCCUCCACCCCAACUCCUGUCAGGCGUUUGGCCGCUGUCGCCCGCUGCCCCGUCCUUAGCAAUUUAAAAAAGAAUUAUUAUAUUUUUUCCAGUAGGUGGCAGUAAAAUAAAGCGACCGUGUUGUGCGAGGCGGGCUGCCUCCCCUCUCCCAGCGGCUGGAGCCUGAGCGGGAGCCUUUGGGGGAGCAGUGGCACCUCAGUGGGACGCACCAACGGCCUGCGCGAAAAGCAGCCAUAAAUAGCUGUUCCAGCGAAAUACAGCAGCGAGGAAAAACGGAGGCCGGGAUGGAGGAAGGAUAUCUGACCGCAGUUGCUGGCUCUGGCUGCGUGGCAGCCGGCUGUGGCUCGGGAUUACCUUUCACUCCGCACCAGCUAAGCACGCACAAGGCAUAUCCGAUUUCUGAGGCUUUAAGAACUGUAACAUGGAAAUCCAGCCUCCAGAGAUGUGGGGACCGGCAGUGUCCCGGGAAGGUGACCGUCCCUCCCGUCCCCCCUGGCAUGCCAGGACCAGCCACGCUGGGGAGCCCGGGGCAACACAGACCCCAGCAGCCGGUUUUGCUGAUGUGGGAGGGGAAGAAUCCACUUCUCCUUCCUAUAAACUCCCCCAGGGACCGCACCACACCACAUAGAUGGUAAAUAUUUGGAGCUUACCUUUUCGAGCAGUAUUUUUUAUUUGAAAAGACGUAGAUUCUAAAGCAUCAGAGAACUGUGAAAGAAACUGCUCUGUCUUGUCACCCUAACUUUAGCUCUGGUUAGGAAAUAAAAGGGCAAAUUUAGACUCCA
rnacentral:lncRNA from 1 species